AAGUUUUAUUUUCUUUACUUUCAUUUCAUCUCAUCUCUGCUAGAGUUUUUUUUUUCUUUAUUUACCUUUAAGAGUCAAGAAGGUCACAAAAUAUAUACCAAUGAGUUCAAAAGCAACCAUUGUCUUCUUUUCUCUCACCACAUGCUCUAUGUUGAGAAAGCUAAGCUUUCGAGACCCACAAAACAGAAACAAAGUUAAUUUUCUGCUAAUGUUCCUGAAAAGACCCG
rnacentral:lncRNA from 1 species